rnacentral:rRNA from 1 species
GUGAGGAAUAUUGGUCAAUGGGCGCAAGCCUGAACCAGCCAUGCCGCGUGCAGGAAGACGGUCCUAUGGAUUGUAAACUGCUUUUAUUUGGGAAUAAACUCCGGUACGUGUACCGGCCUGAAGGUACCAAAUGAAUACGCACCGGCUAACUCCGUGCCAGCAGCCGCGGUAAUACGGAGGGUGCAAGCGUUAUCCGGAAUCAUUGGGUUUAAAGGGUCCGCAGGCGGUCUUAUAAGUCAGUGGUGAAAGCCUACAGCUCAACUGUAGAACUGCCAUUGAUACUGUAGGACUUGAAUUCGAUCGAAGUGGGCGGAAUGUGACAUGUAGCGGUGAAAUGCUUAGAUAUGUCACAGAACACCGAUAGCGAAGGCAGCUCACUAGGUCUGGAUUGACGCUCAGGGACGAAAGCGUGGGGAGCAAACAGGAUUAGAAACCCGGGUAGUCC